GCCUGUGGACAGUGUGGUGAAGGCAGGAGAAGGAUGGGAGAGAAGAACAGAUGCAUAGGCCCUUUCCUAAUUUCUACUUCCCUUGCUGAGGGCCCCCAGGCCAGGUGCGAUGAAGAUAGUUGGAACAAAUGUUUCUCAUUGUCUACCCCAAUUCAUUCUGUAAGGUAGCUUCCUUAUUGGCCUGCCCUGGAAUGAACAGUGCCCAGCUUUAAGUGUUUUGCCUCAGCCUUUGAAGUCUGGAUGUCAGCAGAAAGGAGUGACAGAGUAAGCAGGGAUCUCACCCCAAGGAGGAGAUGGCCAGGAGACUUGAAUUGAGGCCAAGGAAGAGAUAGGCUUAGAACAGGGGUUGUUUCUGCAACUCCAGCCUACCCACCUCAUCCCAAGCGCCCCUCCCCUCCCCCUUCAAGGAAUGUCUGCCUCCUUGCCUCACCUGGCUUAAUUGUCAUGAGGAGUGUUCCUUCUGCUCUGGCCUAAUAUUUAGUCUUGAAGUUGGAUUACUAUGAAGGAGGGCAUGAAACACAGAGAAACAUGGCUCAUCUUUCCGAAACCUAUUUCCCGAGAAUCCCCAGAUCCACAGGACAAGGACAGCUACAAGUGCCUAGAACAGUACCUGAUACACAGUUGUGCCAGGAAGCAAAUACUUGUUGAUUGACUGACAAAUUGAUUCUUGAAGACACAGAAGCACUGAAGGACUUUUGGAGAGAAAGGUGAAAUCAUCACUGCAGGACUUGUCCGUUCUUAAUGAGAUUCCUCACUGGAAGCAUGAAUUGGCAUUGUUGCAUGGGUCUCAUGUAGAAUCUGAAAUAAACUCACUCUAG